CGUGGUCCGCCUGCUCGACCUAGUCGCACAGCAGUUCCAUGGGGACGGGAUCCUCCACGGCGCCGUCCUCGCUGGUCUGAGAUGCGGAGCCUAGCGGGAGCAUGUGGGACGGCCACGCAAAGGGGUUGGCGUGUCCUUGGCGGGUGCUCGGGCUUGUGGAGGAGGGGCCGAGUAUAGAGGGGAAGGACGUCGAGAAUCAGCAUCGGCGCCAUCAAAUUGGUACUCAGAUAGGAAGAAGAAAGGAACUGCAGCUCAUACAUGGAGUAUUACCUCCGCAUAACACAGAUUGUGGUCACUAGUCAUGGUUUCCUGUACAAGUUCUAAAACGGUACAACAGGAGAAUUUGCCGGUGAUUCAUCGUGAAGAACAUCGUGCGAUUUCUUACUUUUGGUGACUGGGAAUCAUCGGGAGCAUCUUGGUUCCCUGGACCACUUCUUGGAGAAGCCACCGGGGACGUGAGACUCGAAGAAGACAUCAGGGACGGGAUUCCUUGGCUGCCCAAUUUAAGAGGAGAUUUUACCUGUGCUUCCUUGGUCAAGCCGCCAUUGAUUGUUCUGCCGAGGUUGUAGGCCUCUCUCGCCUUCAGGAGUAUAUUUUGGCGUGCUUUUCUGCA